rnacentral:tRNA from 1 species
UCGCGCGUGGUCUAGCGGUUAGGAUUCCUGGCUUUCACCCAGGCGGCCCGGGUUCGACUCCCGGCGCGGGAG